GCCCCCGUGGCCUAAUGGCGAAGGCGCAAGAGUGAGCCAACAGAAACAUUCCAAGUUCCACCACUUCAGCGACACUAACAACCACCUUAGCUUCUAUAAGUAAAUCUUGAGAUUGCGGGUUCGACCCCCGCCGGGGGUU